rnacentral:rRNA from 1 species
UACGUAGGGUCCGAGCGUUGUCCGGAAUUAUUGGGCGUAAAGAGCUCGUAGGCGGUCUGUCGCGUCGGCUGUGAAAACUCGGGGCUCAACCCCGAGCCUGCAGUCGAUACGGGCAGACUAGAGUGCUGUAGGGGAGACUGGAAUUCCUGGUGUAGCGGUGAAAUGCGCAGAUAUCAGGAGGAACACCGGUGGCGAAGGCGGGUCUCUGGGCCGAAACUGAGGCUGAGGAGCGAAAGCGUGGGGAGCAAACAGG